UACGAAGGGUGCAAGCGUUAAUCGGAAUUACUGGGCGUAAAGCGUGCGUAGGUGGUUUGUUAAGUCUGAUGUGAAAGCCCUGGGCUCAACCUGGGAAUGGCAUUGGAUACUGGCUUACUAGAGUGCGGUAGAGGGAUGCGGAAGUUCCGGUGUAGCGGUGAAAUGCGUAGAGAUCGGAAGGAACAUCUGUGGCGAAGGCGGCAUCCUGGACCAGCACUGACACUGAGGCACGAAAGCGUGGGGAGCAAACAGG
rnacentral:rRNA from 1 species